rnacentral:tRNA from 1 species
GGAGGGUUGGCCGAGUGGUUGAUGGCGCCGGUUUUGAAAACCGGUGUAGGGGUUCACCUCUACCGUGGGUUCAAAUCCUACACCCUCCG